rnacentral:lncRNA from 1 species
ACAGGAAAGGGGGCAAAAAGCUUUGAAUCGAGGAACUUUGCUCGCCCUUCUUCAUAUUUCAUUUGGACCUUAGAUCGAAAGCACGAAUUGUUUGUAUGCCCCUUUGUAGCAAAUAUUGUGCGCAUUUCUACUAUCGAUGGUGGGAAAAACAAACUGGAUUUCAAGAAAGGAUCCUGGUCAGAUCAACAAGUAUUCUAAUGGUAAGUGAAAAAAUAUAUCUACAUAGCAUUUGUUGCACACUUGUUAACGGAGGUGUGUGAUAUCUAAGACAAGAAACUGAACCAUAGGAGGUUAGUCUCUAUCUACAGACAUUUGUCAGCUUUUUAAGUAUUCCUGAAGACAAGCAGGAAGACCUCCCUCACAACAGCUUUCCUUUUGGUAAACGAUAUUUCCCCUUUUGACACCCGAUUUGUGUAAUUUUCUUUUGAGUCCUUUAAUCGUUUAAUAAUGUAUAUUUUGUCAGUAAAUUUAGGGCAUAACUACAGAAAUGCGGGAUCCUUUCGGUUUUGGGGAGUUACCAAAAUUGAAAAUGCAAAAAUGUUUAUAUCAUUGUUCUGUGACCCUAACCACAUAUUUUCAGGGAGUUCUCAAAAAUGAAGCCUCCAAAAAUCAAAGUAAUAUUCUCCGCCUAACCUGAACUCAUCAUAUAUCAUCAUCAUCAUCAUCAUCAUCAUCGUCGUUUAACGUCCGCUUAAACGACGAUGAUGAUGAUAUAUGAUGAGUUCAGGUUAGGCGGAGAAUAUUAUAUAUAUAUAUAGGUAUUUUAUAAAAAAUUUAUGAAAAUAGGGUAAAGUAAAAUAAUUUACUUUACCACACACCGAGCUUUUUAGAAAUAGCAGCCAAAAAUUUGGCUAUUUCUUCAACUGCAAGAAAAUGUCUCCCAGACAUUUUUAGAAAUUAAUUAAUUCUACCCCCUUUUUUUAUUUUUAUUGACAAUAUAUAUAUACGUAGAUAGAUAGAGAUAUGUAUAUAUGUGCGUGCAUGAGUAAUGUUACACAAUGUUAAAGAGUAGUUGUAGUUUACAAAUUCUUACAUUUCACCCAAUGUUAUAUGAUGUCAUUUGUUAAUUAAUAAAGAAAUAUUUUAACAUUUCUCUUUUGAUCUUUCCUCUCUAUCUAAUUCUGUUUCUUUAUUAUUUCAGAUUUACGGAUGACAUUGGCAUCAAAGAAAUUUUCUUUUAUAAUGAAUACAUCUUCAACAUUUUUCAUCUUUUAAAGUCUUGAGGAAAAGUUUACACAGAACGCAUCUAAGCCUAUUUCUAUAAAUCUUUGGUAGAAAUUCUAUGAAAUGUUUGCUCAGAACUGAGAUUAAUAGCAACAUUUUUCUAUUUCAUUAGCUGAUGCUUUGCAUUCUCGUUACUCUUUGAUGACUUUCCAAAUUUAUAGCAUCUUUCGAUAUCAGUGAAGUUUGCAGUGGAAACAUUUG